UUUCCGUAGGUGAACCUGCGGAAGGAUCAUUAAAGAACGCCCCAAUUUUUGAAAUGGGUAAUUCUAAACCGUGUAUACAUACCUUUGUUGCUUUGGCAGGCCGCCCCUCAGGGCUUCGGCUCCGGCUGACUGCGCCUGCCAGAGGACCCAAACUCUUAUGUUUAGUGAUGUCUGAGUACUAUAUAAUAGUUAAAACUUUCAACAACGGAUCUCUUGGUUCUG
rnacentral:misc_RNA from 1 species